rnacentral:lncRNA from 1 species
CGCAUGCGCGGGCUUAGGGGCUUUAGUGCGCAUGUGCGUUCCCGAGAGUUUAGUACGCAUGCGCACGAUGCCAGAUUUUAGUACGCAUGCGCGGACCCUGAGAUAGCAGUACGCAUGCGCGAGCCCUGAGAUCGCAUUACGCCUGCGCGGAAUGCCAGAUAGCAGUACGCAUGGGGUAGUCUGGAGACUGCAGUACGCACGCGCCGUCUUCGAGACGGCGGUACCCGUGUGCGAGCUAUGAGAAGGCAGUACGCAUGCGCAAGCCUCGAGACGGCAUUACGCAUGCGGGGGCGUUGAGACGGCAGUACGCCUACGCGAUUCGGGAGACAACAGUACGCAUGAGCGUGUUAUGAGACAACACUACGCAUGCGCGAGAUUUGAGACAUCAGUACGCAUGCGCGACUUUAGAGACUACAGUAUGCAUGCGCUGUGUUAGAAACAGCAGUACGCAUGCGCGAGCCCGGAGACAGAAUGCCUUCCCGUCGGCAGUGUGCAUGUGCUCGCCCCCGUGUCGGCACUGCGCAUGCGCGUGUUUCGUGUCUUCCUUGUGCAUGUGGCAGUGCGUACGCAUCAUUUCGCAUGUGCGUUUUCAGGUACACAUCUACUAAUGCAGCACUCAGGAUUGGAAGAGAGAAAUGUAUCUCUGAGCCGGAGGUCCAAGAAUGGACUGUCUGCACGCACCUCAGGGCUUCGUAGAAACGGAUGAUAUUUAUAAGCUUCACGGCUCAUGUGCACCAUUAACUGCAGGGCUAAGUAGACUAAAGAUCGGUGGGUUGACGGCGCAGAGCGACCAGAAACUACAUAAACCACUUCCGCGUGCCUGCGCGCAUGCGUCCUGCUGCCUCCGGCACCAAACAAACACGGCCGCAAUUCCACCGAUUGGCCACACG